rnacentral:rRNA from 1 species
CCUACGGGCGGCUGCAGUGGGGAAUUUUGGACAAUGGGCGCAAGCCUGAUCCAGCCAUGCCGCGUGCAGGAUGAAGGCCCUCGGGUUGUAAACUGCUUUUGUACGGAACGAAAAGCCUCUCUCGAAUAAAGAGGGGUGAUGACGGUACCGUAAGAAUAAGCACCGGCUAACUACGUGCCAGCAGCCGCGGUAAUACGUAGGGUGCGAGCGUUAAUCGGAAUGCGCGGGCGUAAAGCGUGCGCAGGGGGGAAAUCCCCGGGCGCAACCUGGGAACGGCCAUUGUGACUGCAAGGCUGGAGUACGGCAGAGGGGGAUGGAAUUCCGCGUGUAGCAGUGAAAUGCGUAGAUAUGCGGAGGAACACCGAUGGCGAAGGCAGUCCCCUGGGCCUAUACUGACGCUCAUGCACGAAAGCGUGGGGAGCAAACAGGAUUAGAUACCCGGGUAGUC